rnacentral:lncRNA from 1 species
GUCCGGCCGAUUGGUGCAGAUAUAGAGCAGAAUUGCUCACUUGAUGAGGAAAGCAUGAAACUUUGCAUAGUAGUUCUUGGUUAUAUAUCCUUUGAUUUCAGCUAUGGACCCACUCUGCAAAAUCCAAUAUGGCUGCCAUUUUCUAAAGAUGGCGGAAAAACGGUAUAAAAUUCAAGAUUGUCCUAAAAGUAUUCUAUAUAAUUUCGGAAAUUAA